UACGAGCCAUGCCAUGAGAAAACCAACAUAGUGGCUUUGCGACCAGCUUAUGUGCAGUCUGGUCAGGAUCCAUGCUGUUCGCUAACGGUUUCUCUAAUUGCAAUAGGCUUUGAAAGCGAACAGUAUGGAUCCUGACCAGACUGCACAGAUGCGCAGGCUGGUCUGGAUCCAUGCUGGUUACAAAUGCACUAUGUUGGUUUUCUCGUGGCGUGGCUCAUAUUAUUAUUUCGUUACACUUUCACAAUACUUUAAUAGAUAAGUAUAAAUUUCUUUUUCAGUGAACAAGUUAUUGUGAGAUAGUCUGAUUACUUUGGAGCCGCCAGAUUGUGUAUGAAAUCCUGAACAAAGUAUUUCAACAACUUUUUCAUGAACCACAGAAACUUUACCUUUUUAAAUUGUAGGACCAGACAUUGUGAGAAAGUUUGAUUGCAUUCACUGCCAGAGCUAAAGCUAGAAAAGAAACUAAACAACUUCUUCUCAUGAUCUGCUUAAUUGAUCUUCACAUUGAAUUGUCAACCUGUAUGCUACAUUGUAUAAUGACGUUGAGCAAAUAAAGAUACUGCAGUUAGCGUUACAACCUUCAUUAAACAGAAUGAAUUGGUGUUACAGAAAUGGAUAACAUAUGGAGACAAACACUUUCAGGCUACAGAAACUACACUAUGAGACUAUGAGAAUGGCUUAUUUUCAUGAUGGAACUCAUACCACAAAGAAAGAACUUGCUUUAUCUUGUUUCUUAUAACUAGUCCUCAAAGACAUACCCAAGUAAACUACAACAGGAAUGAAAGCAAACAAGUUGAUUCAGGAUUUAGAAUUGAAUGUUUUUGUGUCAACAGUGUGUGAAAACUGCGGAAAAUAGGAUUUUAAUUUCAAGGAUUGAUUUAGUAUGUCAAGGAGUGAUUUGUUUAUAAUUCAUCACACAAAUUAUUGACAAUGCUCUAAAAUAUAAAUAUGAUGUGUAAAUACAGACUUUCAUACCUAACUAAAAUAAUGUUGAACUCAGCAGAAUAAACAAACUACCAUCUGUUGUAUAAUAUAUUAGUUGAUUUAUCAAACUUUGUCAGUUUUGUUACAUUACUUAUCAUUGAUAGAAUCUAUUAUCGAAUAACUCUUUACAGUGUGUCAAGUACUCAUCAUUAUAAGCUAUUUUGAAAUAAUUACAGGACUGAUAUUUUA